rnacentral:rRNA from 1 species
UACGGAGGGAGCUAGCGUUGUUCGGAAUUACUGGGCGUAAAGCGCGCGUAGGCGGCUUUGUAAGUUAGAGGUGAAAGCCCGGGGCUCAACCCCGGAAUUGCCUUUAAGACUGCAUCGCUUGAAUCCGGGAGAGGUGAGUGGAAUUCCGAGCGUAGAGGUGAAAUUCGUAGAUAUUCGGAAGAACACCAGUGGCGAAGGCGGCUCACUGGACCGGCAUUGACGCUGAGGUGCGAAAGCGUGGGGAGCAAACAGG